rnacentral:rRNA from 1 species
GAUUCCUACGGGAGGCAGCAGUGGGGGAUAUUGCACAAUGGGGGAAACCCUGAUGCAGCAACGCCGCGUGAGCGAUGAAGUAUUUCGGUAUGUAAAGCUCUAUCAGCAGGGAAGAAAAUGACGGUACCUGACUAAGAAGCCCCGGCUAACUACGUGCCAGCAGCCGCGGUAAUACGUAGGGGGCAAGCGUUAUCCGGAUUUACUGGGUGUAAAGGGAGCGUAGACGGCAGUGCAAGUCUGAAGUGAAAGGCAAGGGCUCAACCCUUGGACUGCUUUGGAAACUGCCCGGCUAGAGUGCUGAAGAG